CCUACGGGAGGCAGCAGUGAGGAAUAUUGGUCAAUGGACGAGAGCCUGAACCAGCCAAGUAGCGUGAAGGAUGACUGCCCUAUGGAUUGUAAACCUCUUUUAUAUGGGAAUAAAAUGUUCCACGUGUGGGCUUUUGCAUGUACCAUAUGAACAAGCAUCGGCUAACUCCGUGCCAGCAGCCGCGGGAAUACGGAGGAUCCGAUGGUUAUCCGGAUUUGUUGGGUUUAAAGGGAGCGUAGGUGGAUUGUCAAGUCAGUUGUGAAAGUUUGUGGCUCAACCGCAGAAUUGCAGUUGAUACUGGCAGCCUUGAGUGCAGUAGAGGUAGGCGGAAGGCGUGGUGUAGCGGUGAAAUGCUUAGAUAUCACGAAGAACUCCGAUUGCGAAGGCAGCAUGCUGGACUGUUACUGACGCUGAGGCUCGAAAGUGUGGGUAUCAAACAGGAUUAGAUACCCUUGUAGUC
rnacentral:rRNA from 1 species